UACGUAGGGUGCAAGCGUUUAUCCGGAAUUAUUGGGCGUAAAGAGCUCGUAGGCGGUUUGUCGCGUCUGCUGUGAAAACUGGAGGCUCAACCUCCAGCCUGCAGUGGGUACGGGCAGACUAGAGUGCGGUAGGGGAGAUUGGAAUUCCUGGUGUAGCGGUGGAAUGCGCAGAUAUCAGGAGGAACACCGAUGGCGAAGGCAGAUCUCUGGGCCGUAACUGACGCUGAGGAGCGAAAGCAUGGGUAGCAAACAGG
rnacentral:rRNA from 1 species